GCCAGGUGUGGUGGUGCACACCUGUAAUCUCAGCUACUCAGGAGGCUGAGGCAGGAGAAUCGCUUGAGCUUGGGAGGCAGAGGCUGCAGUGAGCUGAGAUUGUGUCACUGCACUGCAGCCUGGGCAACAGAGUGAGCCCCUGCCUCAA
ensembl:misc_RNA Metazoa_SRP Metazoan signal recognition particle RNA